rnacentral:lncRNA from 1 species
AUAAAGUUCGACAAUGGAAACAUAUUGUUUGAGUUAUCUAAAAAACUUGGAACCAAAUGUGAGCACACUCUGAAAUAUAAGACUUUUGUGAACAUAGUUUUGUGUUAGGUAUGCCGGAUUAACAAUUGUAUAUAAACAUAUGUGUUGUGCUUUUAUCAAUAACAUGCUAACUAUGCAUGUCGUAUUAUACUUUUUUAUGUACUCUUGGAUUGCGACAAGUGACAUACUG